CCAUUGGUAGCUGAACAGACCACAGAAAAAGAUCGGGCAAUGUUAUGAAAAGGACUCUCCUUCGUGCCUUAACCAACUGGGCCACCAGGAUGCACCAUUGCAUUCCUCCGCCUACACUGGUCAUCACCAUGGUUACUCUAUGACACCCAUGACAUUCAGGAGCUCAAACUUCCUUGGAUUCUUUUACAAGAACAUCAGACCAGUAGGCGAUGAACAGAAAUUUCUCACCUCCUUCUCUCCCUGUCAAGCCAGCUGCCUCCCGUGUUAGACAGAGUGUGUGUCUGUGCUCUAUUACCCAAGUAAGUCAUGGAGCAACAGGGCAGCACAAGCUGCCAGAUAGAAUAAAGCUAUGUGGUCAGUGUGUUUAAA